UACGGGAGGAGCGAGCAUUAUUCGGAAUGAUUAGGCGUAAAGGGUUUGUAGGUGGUUUUUUAAGUUGAAAAAAAAAAAAUAAAGCUCAACUUUAUAAAUUUUUUCAAAACUGAAGAACUUGAGUAUAAAUAGAGGAUAAUGGAAUUUCUAUUGGAAUGAUAAAAUAUGUUGAUAAUAGAAGGAAGCUCAAGAGCGAAGGCAAUUAUCUGGGUAUAUACUGACACUGAGAAACGAAAGCUUGGGUAGCAAACGGG
rnacentral:rRNA from 1 species